rnacentral:rRNA from 1 species
AUUGAACGCUGGCGGCAUGCCUUACACAUGCAAGUCGAACGGCAGCACGGGAGCAAUCCUGGUGGCGAGUGGCGAACGGGUGAGUAAUAUAUCGGAACGUGCCCAGUCGUGGGGGAUAACGUAGCGAAAGCUACGCUAAUACCGCAUACGAUCUAUGGAUGAAAGCGGGGGAUCGCAAGACCACGCGCGAUUGGAGCGGCCGAUAUCAGAUUAGGUAGUUGGUGAGGUAAAGGCUCACCAAGCCGACGAUCUGUAGCUGGUCUGAGAGGACGACCAGCCACACUGGGACUGAGACACGGCCCAGACUCCUACGGGAGGCAGCAGUGGGGAAUUUUGGACAAUGGGCGCAAGCCUGAUCCAGCAAUGCCGCGUGCAGGAUGAAGGCCUUCGGGUUGUAAACUGCUUUUGUACGGAGCGAAACGGCUUCCACUAAUACUGGGGGCUAAUGACGGUACCGUAAGAAUAAGCACCGGCUAACUACGUGCCAGCCGCCGCAGUAAGAC